rnacentral:rRNA from 1 species
GAUUAUGGCUCAGGAUGAACGCUAGCUACAGGCUUAACACAUGCAAGUCGAGGGGCAGCAUGGGAGUUGCUUGCAAUCCUGAUGGCGACCGGCGCACGGGUGAGUAACGCGUAUCCAACCUUCCCCUCAGUAGGGCAUAGCCCGUAGAAAUGCGGAUUAAUACCCUAUGCAGUCCGAUGAGGACAUCUGAGCUGGACGAAAGGUUUACCGCUGAGGGAUGGGGAUGCGUCUGAUUAGGUAGUCGGCGGGGUAACGGCCCACCGAGCCUUCGAUCAGUAGGGGUUCUGAGAGGAAGGUCCCCCACACUGGUACUGAGACACGGACCAGACUCCUACGGGAGGCAGCAGUGGGGAAUAUUGGUCAAUGGGCGAGAGCCUGAACCAGCCAAGUAAGCGUGCAGGAUGACGGCCCUACGGGUUGUAAACUGCUUUUAUGCGGGGAUAAAGUGAGGGACUUGUCCCUUUUUGCAGGUACCGCAUGAAUAAGGACCGGCUAAUUCCGUGCCAGCCGCCGC